rnacentral:misc_RNA from 1 species
GAAAUGCGAUAAGUAAUGUGAAUUGCAGAAUUCAGUGAAUCAUCGAAUCUUUGAACGCACAUUGCGCCCCCUGGUAUUCCGGGGGGCAUGCCUGUUCGAGCGUCAUUUCACCACUCAAGCCUCGCUUGGUAUUGGGCAACGCGGUCCGCCGCGUGCCUCAAAUCGACCGGCUGGGUCUUCUGUCCCCUAAGCGUUGUGGAAACUAUUCGCUAAAGGGUGCUCGGGAGGCUACGCCGUAAAACAACCCCAUUUCUAAGGUUGACCUCGGAUCAGGUAGGGAUACCCGCUGAACUUAGGC